rnacentral:rRNA from 1 species
UGUAACUACGUGCCAGCAGCUGUGUGCAUACGUGGGGUGCGAGCGUUAAUAGGAAUUACUGGGCGUAAAGCGUGCGCGGGCGGUUUGGUAAGACAGGCGUGAAAUCCCCGGGCUUAACCUGGGAACUGCGCUUGGGACUGCCAGGCUAGAGUACGGCAGAGGGGGGUGGAAUUCCACGUGUAGCAGUGAAAUGCGUAGAGAUGUGGAGGAACACCAAUGGCGAAGGCAGCCCCCUGGGUCGAUACUGACGCUCAUGCACGAAAGCGUGGGUAGCAAACAGGAUUAGAUACCCCGGUAGUC